ensembl:lncRNA
CUGAAAUAUAACACAACAGUUCGACAUAGUUUAUUAAUUCUGAAAAAUAUGAAUAACAUUCCACCUAUGAGGCCACUAGAGGGCGAUCGACAGCAGGAAAGGGAUGUAUACAAUGACUUUUAUAUGACUUAAAUUACUUUCUAAACCAGAAAGAAAUAUAUGCUAUGAACAGGAGGUAGGAAAUCAGGUUUAAAUGUAAAGGCUUAAAUCUAUUACCUGUAAUAGUGAGUCAGAAAAUAUCUGUAUGACUAAGCUAUUGGAUCUGAUGCAACUGAAAGUUCGAGACUUUGAAAUUUAUAGGGAGAAAAAUCUUCUCUCUGCUUUGAUAGGAAUAUUUUCUGAGGGCACUUUACAAUGUCACCAGUGAGUUGUGCUAUUUUGAGUAUGCUCUGUCUGUGCUGUAAACUGCUCUAACAAGUUUCCCUAUUGCAAUGAUGCAACUUUGAAUGAGAUUAACACACAUGUAGCAUAACCAGAUUGACUUGUUAGUCAUGUUCCUAACUUAAAGCAAUAGGCAUAAUAUUUAAAAUUGUUUUCUAUAAAUCUCUGCAAUCACCACCCCUCAGCUAGUAGUGUGACAGCUUCACAAUUCCUGUGGACAUGUCUGCCUGUAUCUAAUACAUGGGUCUGUAUCCAACACGACGCCAGACGGUUACUCUUCGGAACAUGAUGCCUGCAGCAGCUUUGUGCAACCAGAGAGAGGCAGAGAGUCAGCAGACACACACACACACACACCCGCACACGCACACACGCACACACACACACACACACACACACACACACACACACACACACACACACACACACACACACACACACACACACACACACACACACACACACACACACACACAGAGAGUCUGUCUUUUCAGGAGCAAGUGUCAAUGCAGGAACGCUCCAGGCCUUCUGAGAAUAUGUGUGCUCAUUAUGUUACGAUAUGGCAACAUUAUCAGAUGUGGAGAGAUGGUGGGCAGGAUUACGUUUCUGCUCAGCUGCUUUAUCUGUAGCAGGAGCCGGGGAAGAUUCUGGCACUCUCAAAGAUUCUGAGAGAGAGAGAGAGAGAGAGAGAGAGAGAGAGAGAGAGAGAGAGAGAGAGACAGAGAGAGAGAG